rnacentral:lncRNA from 1 species
UCUACAGCAAGCAAUGGAUGAGACCUUGUUCCCUCGCAUCAUGUCAGCUAAAACAUCAAAAGAGGCCUGGGAUAUCCUAAAAAGUGGAUUCAAAGGAACAGACAAGGUAAUCACUGUUAAGCUUCAAAUUCUUCGACGUGAGUUUGAAACUUUUUUCAUGAAAGAUUCUGAGUCUAUCACUGAUUUCUUCACAAGAGUUUCUUCUAUUGUAAAUCAAAUUAGAUCUCUGGGUGAAAAUUUAAGAGAACAAACAGUGAUAGAAAAAAUUUUGAGAAGUCUGACUACAAAAUUUGAUAUUGUUGCUACUGCUAUUGAAGAGUCUAAAGAUUUAAGUACCUUGUCUAUGAAUGAAUUAAUGGGCUCGCUUUUGGUUCAUGAACAAAGAAUUAACAGAUCUUCAGGUGAAAUAUUAGAACAUGCUUUACAAAUGAGGACNNNNNNNNNNAAAGAAAACCAAAAAAUCAAGAAAACCGAUCUCAUGGCAGAGGUCAAAAUGGCGGCAGAGGCCGUGGUCGAUUCGGCACUCGAGGAAGGGGUCGAGGCCGAUCAAAUGACAACCAAAGGAAUUUCAAUGAAGGUAACAAAGAAACUAGACAAUGUUUUCUUUGCAAAAAGGUUGGACACAUUGAAAAAGACUGUUGGUACAAAAAUAAAAAUCCCAAUGUUCCUUUCUGCUCUCACUGUAAAAAAUAUGGUCAUCUUGAUAAAAAUUGCUGGCACAAAAAUCAAGCUAAUUACCAUGAAGAGAGUAGCAGUGAAAAGAAAGAUGAGGAAAAUAUUUUUUUCUUGGCCUCUGCUGAUGAUUGUUCAAGUUGUGUUUGGUUUUUGGAUAGUGGAUGCAGUAACCAUAUGACAGGUGACAGAAAGAUAUUUCAACAGAUU